GACGAACGCUGGCGGCGUGCUUAACACAUGCAAGUCGAACGAUGAAGCUGGAGCUUGCUCCGGUGGAUUAGUGGCGAACGGGUGAGUAACACGUGAGCAAUCUGCCCUUGACUCUGGGAUAACUGCGGGAAACUGUAGCUAAUACCGGAUACUUUCACUGGAAGGCAUCUUCUGGUGAAGAAAGAAUUUCGGUCAAGGAUGAGCUCGCGGCCUAUCAGCUUGUUGGUGAGGUAACGGUUCAACAAGGCGACGACGGGUAGCCGGCCUGAGAGGGUGACCGGCCACACUGGGACUGAGACACGGCCCAGACUCCUACGGGAGGCAGCAGUGGGGAAUAUUGCACAAUGGGCGCAAGCCUGAUGCAGCAACGCCGCGUGAGGGAUGAAGGCCUUCGGGUUGUAAACCUCUUUUAGCAGGGAAGAAGCGAAAGUGACGGUACCUGCAAAAAAAGCACCGGCUAACUACGUGCCAGCAGCCGCGGUAA
rnacentral:rRNA from 1 species